ensembl:snRNA U6 U6 spliceosomal RNA
GUGCUCACUUUGGCUGCACAUAUACUAAAAUUGGAACAAUACAGAGAAGAUUAGUAUCUCUCCCGUGGUAGGAUGACAUGCAAAUUAACUCAGUCUACUAUCUAAUG